AGUGAACGCUGGCGGCAGGCCUAACACAUGCAAGUCGAACGAACUCUUCGGAGUUAGUGGCGGACGGGUGAGUCACAUGUGGGAACGUGCAUUUUGGUUCGGAAUAACACAGGGUCACUUGUGCUAAUAUAGAAUGUGCCAUUCGGGGGCAAGAUUGGACGCCAUUAGAGGGGCCCGCGUCUGAUUCGCUAGUUGGUGAGGUAACGGCGGAUCACGGGGUCGCUCAGUAGCUGGUCUGAGAGGAAGACCAGCCACACUGGGACUGUGACCCGGCGCAGAAUCCUACGGGAGGCAGGAGAGGGUGAUCUUGCGAAAUGGGCGGAAUGCUGACGCGGCCAUGCCGCGUGAAUGAUGAAGGUCUGAGGAUUGUAAAAUUCUUUCACCGGGGGCGACAAUGACGGUACCCGAAGAAGAAGCCCCGGCUAACUUCGUG
rnacentral:rRNA from 1 species